AGUGAAGUCUUCAUCAUCCGGGACAUCGUUUCUUCUGUUACUUGUGAACCAAUCAGCGUGAUGUACCAGGAUGCAGUAAGCGUGAAGAACGUGCAGUGAAGUAAAUGCCACGUCAGGGGGACUCCAACCAGGAUUGUAAAACUGAGUUAAAGAUCGAGCCUAUGACUGGGACCCUCCAUAUGGUUGACUCCAAGGGUUAGCGAUGAUGGGCGAUGCAGGCUCCGGAUCGUGGGCUCCUACUCCCAUAAUUUUUUUUAAGGUUAGUUCUGAGAACUUGGUACUACAACAAUAUAUCUUCCCCGCAUCGCUGUUUUUUUUUUGUUUUUGUUUUUGUUUUUUAAUAAUUUUCGAUCCUAGGGCCACUAGUCACACUGUCGAAGGUU